rnacentral:tRNA from 1 species
GCCGCAGUGGCACAACCUGGUACUGCGCAAGCCUGGAAAGCUUGUUUCCUUCGGGAUAUCUCAGUUCAAAUCUGAGCUGCGGCG